rnacentral:rRNA from 1 species
UACGUAGGGGGCAAGCGUUGUCCGGAUUCAUUGGGCGUAAAGGGUGUGUAGGUGGCGCCGUAAGUCGGGUGUGAAAUUUCGGAGCUUAACUCCGAAACUGCAUUCGAUACUGCGGUGCUUGAGGACUGGAGAGGAGACUGGAAUUCAUGGUGUAGCAGUGAAAUGCGUAGAGAUCAUGAGGAAGACCAGUGGCGAAGGCGGGUCUCUGGACAGUUCCUGACACUGAGACACGAAGGCCAGGGGGAGCAAAACGGGG